rnacentral:rRNA from 1 species
AACGAACGCUGGCGGCAGGCUUAACACAUGCAAGUCGAACGCCCCGCAAGGGGAGUGGCAGACGGGUGAGUAACGCGUGGGAAUCUACCCAGAUCUACGGAACAACAGUUGGAGACGACUGCUAAUACCGUAUACGCCCUACGGGGGAAAGAUUUAUCGGAUUUGGAUGAGCCCGCGUUGGAUUAGCUAGUUGGUGGGGUAAUGGCCUAACAAGGCGACGAUCCAUAGCUGGUCUGAGAGGAUGAUCAGCCACACUGGGACUGAGACACGGCCCAGACUCCUACGGGAGGCAGCAGUGGGGAAUAUUGGACAAUGGGCGCAAGCCUGAUCCAGCCAUGCCGCGUGAGUGAUGAAGGCCUUAGGGUUGUAAAGCUCUUUCACCGAUGAAGAUAAUGACGGUAGUCGGAGAAGAAGCCCCGGCUAACUUCGUGCCAGCCGCCGCAGUAACAC